AAGGGCCAACAUCAGCUUUCUUGGAGUUGAGAGCAGGUGCUGUGGCGUCAGGCUCUGGCGCCUCCACUUGCUAACGGGGCGAUGAGGACACUGUACUGCUCCCUCUAAAAAUGGCCUGAUGCCCGCCCACCUCUGAAGGUUGUUGUGAGGAGUAAAUAAGGAGGUGGUUCCCACGUGCCUCCCACAGCACCUAGAACACGGCAAGUGCUCAAGGAGCAGCAAGCUUAACUGGGAAACACCGCGAGCGAGGCCUGGCCCUUACAUCACAGCUGAAGAGCCUCAGGUGAAGCACGGCCUGGGCGAACCAUGACUAGGAAUUUUGGCGGCAAGGAAAAGCCCCCAGGAACACUCAAGAUGACUCCACCACUAACUUGCUGUCCCUUCACCUCGCCAGGCCUCCGUGCCCUCAGAGUCCCAGGGUGGUGGCCAAGGAGGAGUGAAGCAAUUUCACCCAAGGGAUGGAAAGGAAAAACAUCUAAUCUGUCUUCCCUGAAUCUGAUGUCAGAGAGCCUGCUGAGGAAAGAGAGUACCCUGUGGCUGCUACUUGGGAAUUGACAAGCUUUUCCGGCUCCAUCCUGCAGACCCACAAGACCAGCCCAAGUGCCUUGGACCUUCAUGCCCAACCCAAGCCUGGCACCCAAAUCCACAGAAGCAGAAUUGAACUCAUCUUGUGGAAAGCCAGCUCCUUACUCACACUCAGCUUUGUGCACAUCCUGUGCACAUGAUGACCUGGGCUCAUCAUCUCAGAUCUGCAUAUGUCCCUUGAAUCAUUUUCUUGGACACUGCUCUCUAAGUUUUUCAAGGAAAAUAUACCCACAGAUGAAUGGGUAGCCAGAUCGGUGCUGUUGACACCAGACGCCGAGAUGUAGUGCUUGCUGUCAGACCCCGCUCCCACCCCAAACACACAGCACCUGACACAGAGCUGGGCCGCAUGGACACACACCAGCGCUGGUUGAAUCGCCUGCAGCUGACAGAGCAUCUGACCACCUCUGGCACAAAGGGCCCAGCAGGCGAGGCAGGGGGCUGCUUCCACCACCCCAGUCACAGUCCCUGCUCAGGCUCCUGCAGCUCAAGCCAUCAGCAUUAAGUGUCUGGAGGCUGAGAAGUCCAAGUUCAAAGUGCCAGCAAGGGCUGCUUACGCAUCCUCCUGACCUUGACAUGAUGGUUAAAUUCCUCCAGAGUGGGCAAUCCGAGAGAGCACAAACCUGAAGUCACACUGUCUUCUAUGACCUAGCCUUGGAAUUCACACUGUCACUUCUGCCACAUCCUACUGGCGACACAGAUUUAUUGAGCACCUACUAGAUGCCAGGUUUGUGAACUGUGAAGAAAGCAUGGACAAAGAGGAAGUAGUUGAAGAUACACAAGAAAAGGAAUAACAGGGUCUUCAAGGAAGUGAGAAGGAGGGAGACUCAGUACCCAGUCGGCUGUGGUCAACAUGGUGAACAUGGAGACACGAGAAUGGGGGCAAUGGAAGGAGGAGCUGGUGAGAAGCAGGUGGAAGGACUAUCAGGCCAUGCCAUGGACCCAGCUGAGCCUGGAAAUCUCAAAUCUCUG